UACGUAGCAGGCGAGCGUUGUCGAUUACUGGGCGUAAAGGGCGCGUAGGCGGGAUGGUAAGUCGGUCGUGAAAGCCUUCGGCUCAACCGAAGAACGUCGGCCGAAACUGCCAUCUUGAGGGAUGCAGAGGAGACUGGAAUUCCCGGUGUAGCGGUGAAAUGUGUAGAGAUCGGGAGGAACACCGGUGGCGAAGGCGGGUCUCUGGGCAUCUCCUGACGCUGAGGCGCGAAAGCGUGGGGAGCAAACGGG
rnacentral:rRNA from 1 species